UACGGAGGGUGCAAGCGUUAUCCGGAUUCACUGGGUUUAAAGGGUGCGUAGGCGGACAGGUAAGUCAGUGGUGAAAUCUCUGGGCUUAACCCAGAAACUGCCGUUGAUACUAUCUGUCUUGAAUAUCAUGGAGGUAAGCGGAAUAUGUCAUGUAGCGGUGAAAUGCUUAGAUAUGACAUAGAACACCGAUAGCGAAGGCAGCUUACUACAUGGAGAUUGACGCUGAGGCACGAAAGCGUGGGGAGCAAACGGG
rnacentral:rRNA from 1 species